GGGCGCAAGCCUGAUGCAGCCAUGCCGCGUGUAUGAAGAAGGCCUUCGGGUUGUAAAGUACUUUCAGCGGGGAGGAAGGGAGUAAAGUUAAUACCUUUGCUCAUUGACGUUACCCGCAGAAGAAGCACCGGCUAACUCCGUGCCAGCAGCCGCGGUAAUACGGAGGGUGCAAGCGUUAAUCGGAAUUACUGGGCGUAAAGCGCACGCAGGCGGUUUGUUAAGUCAGAUGUGAAAUCCCCGGGCUCAACCUGGGAACUGCAUCUGAUACUGGCAAGCUUGAGUCUCGUAUAGGGGGGUAGAAUUCCAGGUGUAGCGGUGAAAUGCGUAGAGAUCUGGAGGAAUACC
rnacentral:rRNA from 1 species